rnacentral:rRNA from 1 species
UACGUAGGGGGCAAGCGUUGUCUGGAAUUAUUGGGCGUAAAGCGCGCGCAGGCGGUCAUUUAAGUCUGGUGUUUAAUCCUGGGGCUCAACCCCGGGUCGCACUGGAAACUGGGUGGCUUGAGUACAGAAGAGGAGAGUGGAAUUCCACGUGUAGCGGUGAAAUGCGUAGAUAUGUGGAGGAACACCAGUGGCGAAGGCGACUCUCUGGGCUGUAACUGACGCUGAGGCGCGAAAGCGUGGGGAGCAAACAGG